rfam:Oryza glaberrima chromosome 2 Oglab02_0201_9, whole genome shotgun sequence.
AAGAAGGGUAGUUUUACGCUGUUUAUGUGUAACGUUUGACCAUCCGUCUUAUUUAAAAAAAUAUGAUUAGUAUUUUUUUGUUGUUAUUAGAUGAUAAAACAUAAAUAGUAUUUUAUGUGUGACUAACUUUUAUAAUUUUUCAAAUAAAACGGAUGGUCAAACAUUGGAUAUGGAUAUUCACGAGUGCGCUUAUU